AUCCCUUCGUCCUGUACGCCUCGAACUGAAUCCUGCUCGUCCCCCCGCUCCGCCGCCGGGCACCACAGGGCUUCUCCCACCACCGUCGGCCACCAUGACGCCAUGCUCCGUCCACUCUUGCUAGCCCCGACUACACACAACCUAUUCAGAUGCAGCGUGCGUGCCGAACCCGUUGCUCGGAUCAGAUCCAAAUGCUCGAUUGUACAAUGGGAGCCGAGACAAAUCUCUCCCCACCGCCGCUGGAGCUGGAGAUUCUACGCGGCGAGGAUCAGCGGUCGGAACUCGAUCUGCCUCCUCCAACUGUGGUGACAUGUGCAUUGGUGGUUCUCGGCCAACCCAGAGUUGUAAUCCGGCGGCAGCCCGUUCCUCAGGAAGUGCAGCACAUAUGGGUGAUCCGAGCUCUAUGUGGUUAGUUUAUCCUCUAAUAAUCUAAUAGUAGUAUUCAUUGUUCUCUGUUUGGCAAAUUCCUUCGGCGAGUCAUGGGUUAGUUUUGGACAGGGGCUGGAGUAUCAGAACUCCUAUGCUUGAUGUGCCCAAAAAUUUAAAACAGAAAGACAACUGAAGCUAUUCUCAGUUGUGAGCAACUCAAAUUAGAAAAUUUUAAAGGUUCGUUAUAAAUUAGUAUAUGCAUCGCUAUGCUAUUACACAAUUUCAUGACAUCUAGUAACUUGUAUCACAUCUAUUAAAUAGUAUCAAGCAGGCUGAGUACCUGUCUAAGCAUUGAUGUAUCAUAUAUCAUUUAUUUAUUUAUUCUUUCAAAGGACGCAAAGGAUUUGGCUUCUUGUGGUGGAGAUAGUUAUAGUACACCAAGGAAAACAAGUAGCACGCCGAUCCGUGUAAGUAUUAUUCAAUGUUCAGUGUAGAAGUACCAAAAUUUAGCUCACAAAUGAUAAUGGGUGGAAACUCUAGGUUUUAAUGGGUGGCGAUUUAGGCAAAAAAAACAAAAUGGCCAAUGCCAUAAGCAAAAGCUCUGACAACUUUUUUUAUGUGUUUGUGUGGCUAUAUAAAUCAAGUAAUCAUUCACCCUUUUAUGAUUUUUUUUCUUGGAAUCAAACUUGCUGCUACAGAUCAGGCUAUUCUCCUAGACAUGUAUUGCCCUUUUUAGGAGUUUUCCCUUAUUUGUGGGAUUCACAGGCUAUUGUAUUCGUUACGAGAAUGUUGUGUGGCAACCUGAAGGCUGCAGGAUACAAAUGUUUCCAACUAUUAAUUUUUUAGAAGGUAAUUGUUGGGGGUUGAUUUCAACCUGGAUUAGGAUGUUAAUCCAUUACGACAUACAGGUUGUGUAAGACUCUUUGCAACCUAUUGAACUUAUGAAUGGGAAAGGAAGGUGAUUUGGCUUCUGUAGCAAAUCUGUCAACUAUGAAUCUACAUCCGGCAAUUGUGAGUAUCUGUUCGCUCUGUGGUUUGUUGGUGUCCAGUGCACAUGUUAAUGGUGACUCUUGCGGGGCAAAAAAAUUAGAUGCAUUUAUGAUCGAUGGGUAUGCAGCCAAAUCAGAACUAGUGGCUCCUAUCAUGUGACGAAUGCGUUUGGAAAGAACUUCAGGAAGGAGCUAUGUACAAGUGUACAAAUGAGUUUUGCUCAGGCAGAAAGCAAAAUCGAAGAAGCACCAGCAACUUCCGGUGUAACUACCACUGUCAGUUUCCUCGAUCACUUUCCUAGCAGCCACCACGGACAUGACCAAGCUGUUACGAAGAAGAUGAAAAACCUGGGCCUAGGCGGCGAGGGGGAGCUCGUGAAGCCAAUGGGACCUGAGAGCAUCUGUAAGACCAGGUUAUGUGUGAGCUUUGUCGCCGGCAGGUCGUGCGCCUUCGGCGGCAGAUGCCCCUUGGCCCAUGAGAAAGUUGAAUUGUGCAAUCCUGCUGCAUCUCGAGAAGUCGAAGGUCAAGUGAUUCUCAUGGUGUUCAUGAUGGUCGUGCAUCUUUUAUUUUGCAGAAAUGCCUAAACAAAAACUUCUCUUGUCUAUUCUUGUUGUAAUAGGUGUGUUGAUGAAGAUCAACUUUUCUUGUCUAUUCUUAUCCAUUUCUUCUUCCGUUCAAUCAAUUCAUGAUAGGCAAGACAUCAAAAAUGGAGUGAACAGAAACUCAGUAUCAAUGAAGGCAUGGUAGACGCCAUUGUCCAAGAUAUUAAUAUUAGAGCAUCAAUGUUUUUAUCUUGGAAGUUCAAGCCUGUAAGUCGCUGGACUAAUGAGGCAGCCCAUGUUUUUGGCAAAAUCUGUUGAGAAGUCAGAAGAUCUGUGUACCUGAUGUUGUCAGGACACUGUUUGUAACGAUGAGAUUAUGAAUGAAAUGAAAGGGUGCCCUAGGUUUA